rnacentral:tRNA from 1 species
GGCUGAGUGGUAAAGCGCUUGGCUUGCGAUCCGAGUGGGUCCCAGGUUUGAAUCCUGG